rnacentral:lncRNA from 1 species
AGAGAAGAGAGAUGAGACGAAACGGAGAUAGAGAGGAGAGAAAGCUCGGGUCGUGUCUUGCUUCGUCUCCGAUAACCAGAGCUUGGGUUGGGUGGGGUCUUGCUUUGUCUCCUCCAUUUUCGCCUCAGCUUCAGAUACGCCGUGUUCGAGCUCCGCCGCUGCUUGUACCUUUUUCAGCAUUCGUCUCGAGAGAAGAAUUUGAGUCGAGCGAUAAGAGAAGGCAGAAGAUGGAGUUGGUUCAGAGACAGGGGAAGAGACAUCCUGCCUCUCGAGCUGGCAAUCUAAGUUACGUUUGUCUCCACUCUCGUGUUCUUCAUACAGAGAAGUGAGCUUGAUGGCGGAUUUGUGGUAUGUGUUUACAAGAGACAGAGGAGAUGGAGAUGGGAAGAAGAAGAAGAAGAACCGGAGAAAACAGAGGUGGAGUUUCAGAUUCAAAACGAGAGAAGACACAAGAGCAAGGUAUUUUGGAUCGACAAGGUAUAUCUCGAUCUUAUUAUCUAAUCGUAUUACAUUGUCACUAGGAUUAUAAGGCUUUCUCUGUAUUUUCAGGAAGAGGAAGAUGAGAAUGACAAAGUGGCUGUAGGCGAGGAACUCAGGUACUUGGAGACGUUCUUGAACAAAACUCUUCCAUUUUCUGUAAAAUUUAACAAGUUCGAUAUCUUGUUCAUUGAUUCACUGUCUUGUGUCUUAAUAACUAGAGGCGUGUGUCUGACAGAAGUUAUAAAUAUACACAAGAUCUUGAUUCUUAUGAGGAAUCUUUGUUGAUUUCUCAAGACAUGUUCGUUCAAUUGCCUUAAAGAAUCAGCUUUAUGCUGUUGUUGGUGCUCCGUUACUAACUACCAUCUUCUUCUUCUCUAGUAAGUAGUGGCCAUCUCAUUCUUAUUUAGAUAUAUUGGUCUUCAAUAGUCUUCUUCUUGCCUUUUUGUUUGCGGUUUAGUAGUGUUUGAUUGUUUUUGCAGUUAAAGAAGUGAAACAUAAAGUACAAGAAGAAGAAGACAAACAUGGAGAUGAUUGUGAACUGGAUCUACUCUACAUUGUACAUUCAGACAUCUCAUCUCUUCUUCACCAGGUCCUUGCUUACUUCCUGCUCUUGUCUUAAGAAUUCUUGUCUCUUUUGUAUUGAAUGUUUUUGGAAUCUCAGGAAGAUCCGUCUUUGAUGACCGCAAGGGUCUUUUCAAAUGCUGCUGCAAAUCAAUAGCUUCAGGCUCCUAAACAGUAUCCUUAAUGUUCAUAGUAUUGAUUUUAAUAGCAUGGCCUUUGUAUAGAUUCUUAUUUAAUGUUAGUGGUCAAUAUUAGUGGAGAAAGCUCACACAUUUUCUUUUGGGUUUCAUUGGUUUGGUAGUCAUUUAGGAGGAAAAAAAUAUCUUAAGAUUUGUUCUAGUUUAACCUUAACUCACGAGCAGAGAUCUUAACCACACAAACCAGUAUGUUAUAGGACUCACACUCUAUGAUUUAGGUAUUAUUUGUUCGGAAAAAAUUAUUUACCUGUGAAAUUUGUACAAAGCCUUAAUCGUUGUCUACAUAUUUAUGUAUUGUUGUUCAUCAGUUAUGUUUUUUUGUAGGUUUCUAACUUGCUGCAAAUUCACUAAGUCCUCAUGUCCAAGGGCUAGAUUCUGAGCUUAGUGUUGACUGUGUUCUCUCAUAUGUUAGGAAGUAAGAAUGCUUGCUGCUGGUCGAACUCUUGGUGCGAGACUGCUCGAGGUUAGGAACCUCUGUUUUGUUUUGUUCAUAAGAAGUUGAUUGCUGAUGUUUGGUUACAUCGCAAACGUAUAGCCUAGAUGCAAAUCUAUGCUUGGUUCGUCUCUAUUAGGUGCUCUAAUUGUUUCUCUAUGCGAUUUCAUAUUGGGUACUUAUUGUAACUUCAAAUUGUCUACUUAUGUUGAUGCUGAGAUAGUCACUUCAAUACGUUUCUCUUCUUUGUUGAUAUGAAGCUUAUGUUGAUGCUGAGAUAUUCACUUUUCCACUGGAAUUCUUUUCCUUGGCCAUAUAUUAGAUGUAAGUGUCUCCUCUUAUCAAUUUUCUUCACUUUCUUAUUAGAUCUGAUCCUUUACAAACACUGGAAAGAGCUUGAUACAUAAAUUCUAAUGCUUAAGAAGUUCCUUCUCCAAAGAUUCUGAAACCAUCAUUCGCCCUUAUGAUUGUUUUUUACAGGUUCUUGGAACAUCAACUCGGGAGAUUAUUAAGGUGCAUCCCUACGCCGCUUUUUCUAUGAGAUACAUGCUAAGGCCAAGAAGGAAAUGGGAGCUCAAGGUUUUGAUUUACUUCCCAUGUUUUCUAGUCUUUUUUUUUAUAUUUAGUUCUGAUUUUUAUGUUGUGUAAGAUUUGAUGAUAAUGUAGACAUGUUUGUGGUAUUGAUGUAAGUACAUUUUGGUUUAUUAAUGAAAUAUAAAUUGAAUAUUAUUUUUUAUAUAAUUCUAAUUGCAACAAAACAUGUUUAUAUGAACAGGUUCUAAUAGCCCAUAAUCGAUAAUAGAUAUAGCACUGAUACAUCGCUAUGAUAGAAAAUACGAUAAUGUUCAAAACAAAAGUUAUCAUAAGGUUUGACUAACCAUAGCAAGCUAAAAACAAAGCUAUCAUAUGUCUUCGAUAUAAUAGCGUUUAAAAAACUGCUAUAAUAUAGGGGGACCUAAGAUAGCUGGGGCAGACAUAGCGGUUUCAAUAACGCUAACAAUAGCAUAUAGCAGUUAAUUAAGGCUAUCGUGAAAAAUUAGUAAACAGGAAUAAAAAAUCACGCAUACCGCCUAUAGUUAGGUAAAAUUGAGACAAAACCGCGAAAUACCAAAAUUUUCCCUCUUUACUAUAACACAUUUUCUAAGAUGUAAAAUUUAGUUUCCACAAAAAAUAGAGUCACCAAUAAAAAAACCCUCUCCUCUCGACAAAUCUAACUGCUCAUCUUCUCCGAUGUAUAUCUCCCUCUCACUUUCUCCAAAUCUCACCUCUCUUCUAAUCUUCUUCAACAAUUCUCACUUCUCCUCUUAUUUCGAAAAUCGUUUUGGAGUAUUGUGUUCUCUGUGUUUUCAAUAAAUCUAGGGUUUCUCAUUCCCUUUCUUUCCUAGGGCCUGAGACACGAGAGACAUAAGAGAAGAGAGAUGAGACGAAACGGAGAUAGAGAGGAGAGAAAGCUCGGGUCGUGUCUUGCUUCGUCUCCGAUAACCAGAGCUUGGGUUGGGUGGGGUCUUGCUUUGUCUCCUCCAUUUUCGCCUCAGCUUCAGAUACGCCGUGUUCGAGCUCCGCCGCUGCUUGUACCUUUUUCAGCAUUCGUCUCGAGAGAAGAAUUUGAGUCGAGCGAUAAGAGAAGGCAGAAGAUGGAGUUGGUUCAGAGACAGGGGAAGAGACAUCCUGCCUCUCGAGCUGGCAAUCUAAGUUACGUUUGUCUCCACUCUCGUGUUCUUCAUACAGAGAAGUGAGCUUGAUGGCGGAUUUGUGGUAUGUGUUUACAAGAGACAGAGGAGAUGGAGAUGGGAAGAAGAAGAAGAAGAACCGGAGAAAACAGAGGUGGAGUUUCAGAUUCAAAACGAGAGAAGACACAAGAGCAAGGUAUUUUGGAUCGACA